UUGCCUUAAACUAAUGAGUAAGGAAAACAAAGCGAGCGGUGAGAGCCGGUCGCCGCGCCAUUGCAAAAACUGUGCGCAGGAAUUUAUGGAGGGGUAAUAGGCUGGCCCGAGCGUUGACGCUGCUUACUUUCGCAGAACUCGCUUGGGCGGGCCUCCCA
rfam:Citrus sinensis cultivar Ridge Pineapple sweet orange scaffold00024_contig_123, whole genome shotgun sequence.